rnacentral:tRNA from 11 species
CAGUAGCUGAAUGGAUAACGCGAUGGUCUUUGGAGCGAAAAGUACUGGGUUCGAGUCCCAGAGUGAA